CUGGGGUAAGGCGGUCCCUAUAAGAUCUAUAAAAAGAAGGCUAUGAAUGCACUCCGACCCACAGAACAGUUCGAGAGACCUCCGAACAAGCCAAUCAGCUAAACGUUGCCUUCUCAAUGUGUAUGGACCACAUGGACCGUCCAAUAUGACCUGUGGAGUGCACUUACAGGGUGAACCACGAAGAAAUGUGAGGAUAUAUGCUUGUUAACAAUUGUCAGCAAAGCCAAAGAGUCAUCUUCCAUCCGCAUCGCUGAAGAGCUCUCCGCACCCCAACAUUGAAUUUAGGCUAAGGAGGAGUCCCAUGUAGUGUGAAGGUGCCUUGUAGCCCGCCCCGCCCCGCCCCCCCCCCCCCCCCCCCCCCCCCCCCCCCCUUUUCUCCCUUGCAAAGUUCAUAAACUUUUAACAGCAUCAAUUUAGAAAAGAUAUCAUGGGUUUUGGCUCCGUAUUGCACCAAAAAAAAAAAAAAAGAAGGAA